rnacentral:rRNA from 1 species
AUUUAGAGGAAGGAGAAGUCGUAACAAGGUUUCCGUAGGUGAACCUGCGGAAGGAUCAUUGUCGAAACCUGCCGAGCAGGAAGACCCGCGAACGCGUUUUUGCAUCGUCGGGGAGGCGGAGCGCUCGGCUCCUCGCCCGCCCCCGGCCGGCGCGCACGCGGCGAAACGCGCGUGCCCGUCCCGGCUCUAAACGUCGAAUCCGGCGCGGGAUGCGCCAAGGAAGUGUCGCAGAGAACGGCGCUCCUCCGCGGCGCGCCUCUCGGGUGCGCUCGGGGGGGAGACUCCGACCGAUGUGUAAAGCGAACGAAACGACUCUCGGCAACGGAUAUCUCGGCUCUCGCAUCGAUGAAGAACGCAGCGAAAUGCGAUACUUGGUGUGAAUUGCAGAAUCCCGUGAACCAUCGAGUCUUUGAACGCAAGUUGCGCCCGAAACCAUUAGGUCGAGGGCACGCCUGCCUGGGCGUCACGCAUCGAGUCGCCCCCCGGACUCCCCUCUCGGGGACGGGUCGGGGGCGCGAACGCUGGCCUCCCGUGCGCGACUAUUGCGCGGCUGGCCUAAACUUUACGGUUUCCUCGGCGACGCGUCGCGGGACGAGUUCUGGACGACUGCGUCCGACUCCGUGUCGCCGUGCGAAACUCCCAGGACCCUCGAAUUUCGUCUCCUUCUCGGGGGAGACGGGGCUCACCAAUGCGACCCCAGGUCAGGCGGGGCUACCCGCUAGUUUA